CCUGGCUCAGAGUGAACGCUGGCGGCGUGCUUAACACAUGCAAGUCGAACGAGAACGGAUUAUAGCUUGCUAUAAUUGUCAGCUAAGUGGCGCACGGGUGAGUAAUGUAUAGAUAACCUGCCCUCUAGAAAGGAAUAACAGUUGGAAACGACUGCUAAUGCCCUAUAUGCCUUUAAUACAUAAGUAUGCAAGGGAAACGCUUUAGUGCUAGAGGAUGGGUCUGUAUGGUAUCAGUUAGUUGGUGAGGUAAUGGCUCACCAAGACUAUGACGCCUAACUGGUUUGAGAGGAUGAUCAGUCACACUGGAACUGAGACACGGUCCAGACUCCUACGGGAGGCAGCAGUGGGGAAUAUUGCACAAUGGACGAAAGUCUGAUGCAGCAACGCCGCGUGGAGGAUGACACAUUCGGUGCGUAAACUCCUUUUAUAUAGGAAGAUAAUGACGGUACUAUAUGAAUAAGCACCGGCUAACUCCGUGCCAGCAC
rnacentral:rRNA from 1 species